UGGGGAAUUUUGGACAAUGGGGGAAACCCUGAUCCAGCCAUCCCGCGUGUGCGAUGAAGGCCUUCGGGUUGUAAAGCACUUUUGGCAGGAAAGAAACGUCAUGGGUUAAUACCCCGUGAAACUGACGGUACCUGCAGAAUAAGCACCGGCUAACUACGUGCCAGCAGCCGCGGUAAUACGUAGGGUGCAAGCGUUAAUCGGAAUUACUGGGCGUAAAGCGUGCGCAGGCGGUUCGGAAAGAAAGAUGUGAAAUCCCAGAGCUCAACUUUGGAACUGCAUUUUUAACUACCGGGCUAGAGUGUGUCAGAGGGAGGUGGAAUUCGGCGUGUAGCAGUGAAAUGCGUAGAUAUGCGGAGGAACACCGAUGGCGAAGGCAGCCUCCUGGGAUAACACUGACGCUCAUGCACGAAAGCGUGGGGAGCAAACAGG
rnacentral:rRNA from 1 species